UCGAGUGGCGAACGGGUGAGUAACACGUGGGUGAUCUGCCCUGCACUUUGGGAUAAGCCUGGGAAACUGGGUCUAAUACCGAAUACACCCUUCUGGCUGCAUGGUCUGGUUGGGGAAAGCUUUUGCGGUGUGGGAUGGGCCCGCGGCCUAUCAGCUUGUUGGUGAGGUUACGGCUCACCAAGGCGACGACGGGUAGCCGGCCUGAGAGGGUGACCGGCCACACUGGGACUGAGAUACGGCCCAGACUCCUACGGGAGGCAGCAGUGGGGAAUAUUGCACAAUGGGCGCAAGCCUGAUGCAGCGACGCCGCGUGAGGGAUGACGGCCUUCGGGUUGUAAACCUCUUUCGCCAGGGACGAAGCGCAAGUGACGGUACCUGGAGAAGAAGGACCGGCCAACUACGUGCCAGCAGCCGCGGUAAUACGUAGGGUCCGAGCGUUGUCCGGAAUUACUGGGCGUAAAGAGCUCGUAGGUGGUUUGUCGCGUUGUUCGUGAAAACUCACAGCUCAACUGUGGGCGUGCGGGCGAUACGGGCAGACUGGAGUACUGCAGGGGAGACUGGAAUUCCUGGUGUAGCGGUGGAAUGCGCAGAUAUCAGGAGGAACACCGGUGGCGAAGGCGGGUCUCUGGGCAGUAACUGACGCUGAGGAGCGAAAGCGUGGGGAGCGAACAGGAUUAGAUACCCUGGUAGUCCACGCCGUAAACGGUGGGUACUAGGUGUGGGUUUCCUUCCUUGGGAUCCGUGCCGUAGCUAACGCAUUAAGUACCCCGCCUGGGGAGUACGGCCGCAAGGCUAAAACUCAAAGAAAUUGACGGGGGCCCGCACAAGCGGCGGAGCAUGUGGAUUAAUUCGAUGCAACGCGAAGAACCUUACCUGGGUUUGACAUGCACAGGACGUGCCUAGAGAUAGGUAUUCCCUUGUGGCCUGUGUGCAGGUGGUGCAUGGCUGUCGUCAGCUCGUGUCGUGAGAUGUUGGGUUAAGUCCCGCAACGAGCGCAACCCUUAUCUUAUGUUGCCAGCGCGUAAUGGCGGGGACUCGUGAGAGACUGCCGGGGUCAACUCGGAGGAAGGUGGGGAUGACGUCAAGUCAUCAUGCCCCUUAUGUCCAGGGCUUCACACAUGCUACAAUGGCCGGUACAAAGGGCUGCGAUGCCGUGAGGUGGAGCGAAUCCUUUCAAAGCCGGUCUCAGUUCGGAUCGGGGUCUGCAACUCGACCCCGUGAAGUCGGAGUCGCUAGUAAUCGCAGAUCAGCAACGCUGCGGUGAAUACGUUCCCGGGCCUUGUACACACCGCCCGUCACGUCAUGAAAGUCGGUAACACCCGAAGCC
rnacentral:rRNA from 1 species